GGAGCAUCGAUAUGAGAUGGAAGCAUCGCUGUUCCGCCAUUUUCGUUCUACGUUUCCACGUGCGUCCGGAUGUGGCUUCACUUUUCUUCGACAACUCCGGCAAAAUGGGAUAGAUGCCAGAAACUAUGUUGAAACGUUGAAUAACUAACUCCAUGUGAGCGUGCGUGCACAAAACCCGUGCUGCCAGGUGAAGGGCGCUGAGACACCGGGCAUUUUGCCCACAUGAGACUGCUGUGGGCAUAGCAUUGACGGUUAUGUCGAACCACCAUCGCGACGGUUCGGUGGAAAAACCUCGCUACCAAGAUUUCGAACUUGCAUGCUUCUGAUGGUCACUUUACUCCAGGCACAUGGUGCUUCUUCAUGAACACCACUCAAGCACAUACCCCGGCAUUUUCUUAACCUGACUACAGAACCUGUAAUCCGACUUAUUUAAAAGAAUAUUAUUUUCUUUUGUGGCUUUAACUGGAUGGAGUUUGGUUAACAGAACUUUGUUGUACUCCAUCAAUUUAAUACAAAAUAAAUCAAAUAAAAUAAAAAAUGUA